GAUGAAGAACGUAGCGAAAUGCGAUAAGUAAUGUGAAUUGCAGAAUUCAGUGAAUCAUCGAAUCUUUGAACGCACAUUGCGCCCAUUAGUAUUCUAGUGGGCAUGCCAGUUCGAGCGUCAUUAAGUCCACUUAAGCCCUGCUUAGUGUUGGGAGACUGCUCCAGCGGUGCUACCCUGUAGCUACCCUGCAGCUCCUCAAAGACAGCGGCGGAGUUGUGGUAUCCUCUGAGCUUAGUAACUUGUUCUAGCUUUCGAGUACACCCCUUCCCCUGCCGUAAAACCCUUAAUUUUUUAUGGUUGACCUCGGAUCAGGUAGGAAUACCCGCUGAACUUAAGCAUAUCAAUAAGCGGAGGA
rnacentral:misc_RNA from 1 species